GUGAAAGCGUUGACGAGGAGAAGUAAAAAACAUUGGCAUGACAGAGAGAGUCACCUUGGCUGGAAGUGACUUAUGUUCGAUGUUUUUGAAAUGCCCCUCGGAGUCUCCUUUCGAACCAGAGACGUUCUGUAGUAGAGUGGAGCGGAUUCUCUUCCGUUAUAAGAGCAAAGGGAGCUAACGUUAACGUAUUGGUUGGCUAAACAGAGUGGAACCGCGCAGCGAAGCGUCUCUGUG
rnacentral:ncRNA from 1 species